rnacentral:rRNA from 1 species
GGUUAAGUUAUUAAGGGCGCACGGUGGAUGCCUUGGCACUAGGAGCCGAAGAAGGACGGCACUAACACCGAUAUGCUUCGGGGAGCUGUAAGUAAGCUUUGAUCCGGAGAUUUCCGAAUGGGGGAACCCACUGUUCGUAAUGGAACAGUAUCUUGACGUGAAUACAUAGCGUCUUGAAGGCAGACCCAGGGAACUGAAACAUCUAAGUACCUGGAGGAAGAGAAAGAAAUUAUUCGAUUCCCUGAGUAGCGGCGAGCGAAACGGGAAAAGCCCAAACCAAGAGGCUUGCCUCUUGGGGUUGUAGGACACUCUAUACGGAGUUACAAAGGAAUGGAUUAGGCGAAGCGACCUGGAAAGGUCCGCCAUAGCGGGUAAAAGCCCCGUAGUCGAAAGUUCAUUCUCUCUUGAGUGUAUCCUGAGUACGGCGGAACACGUGAAAUUCCGUCGGAAUCCGGGAGGACCAUCUCCCAAGGCUAAAUACUACCUAGUGACCGAUAGUGAACCAGUACCGUGAGGGAAAGGUGAAAAGCACCCCGGAAGGGGAGUGAAAUAGAACCUGAAACCGUGUGCCUACAAGUAGUUAGAGCCCGUUAAUGGGUGAUAGCGUGCCUUUUGUAGAAUGAACCGGCGAGUUACGAUUACGUGCAAGGUUAAGCUGAGAAGGCGGAGCCGUAGCGAAAGCGAGUCUGAAUAGGGCGAAUGAGUACGUGGUCGUAGACCCGAAACCAGGUGAUCUACCCAUGUCCAGGGUGAAGGUGAGGUAACACUCACUGGAGGCCCGAACCCACGCACGUUGAAAAGUGCGGGGAUGAGGUGUGGGUAGCGGAGAAAUUCCAAUCGAACUUGGAGAUAGCUGGUUCUCUCCGAAAUAGCUUUAGGGCUAGCCUCGUGA